rnacentral:rRNA from 1 species
GACGAACGCUGGCGGCGUGCUUAACACAUGCAAGUCGAACGGAAAGGCCCUGCUUUUGUGGGGUGCUCGAGUGGCGAACGGGUGAGUAACACGUGAGUAACCUGCCCUUGACUUUGGGAUAACUUCAGGAAACUGGGGCUAAUACCGGAUAGGAGCUCCUGCUGCAUGGUGGGGGUUGGAAAGUUUCGGCGGUUGGGGAUGGACUCGCGGCUUAUCAGCUUGUUGGUGGGGUAGUGGCUUACCAAGGCUUUGACGGGUAGCCGGCCUGGGAGGGGGCCCGGCAACUUGGGACUUGGGUACGGCCCAGACCCCCACGGGGGGCAACAGGGGGGAAUUUUGCCAAAGGGGGGGAAGGCUGGUGCAGCAACCCCCGGGGGGGGAAGGCGGCCUUCGGGUUGUAAACCGCUUUCCGCUUGGGACAAGGCUGUGGUGACGGUACCGGAAAAAGAAGCACCGGCUAACUACGUG